rnacentral:sRNA from 1 species
CCCUAGCCCAGAUAGUAGUGGAAAUCCUUUUGUGCCAGGGUUUGGCACAAAAGAUUGCAACGGAUAGCUGGAAAUGGC